AGAGGGGUGCAAGCGUUAAUCGGAAUUACUGGGCGUAAAGCGCACGUAGGUGGUUGCUUAAGUCAGAUGUGAAAGCCCCGGGCUUAACCUGGGAAUGCCAUUUGAUACUGGGCAACUAGAGUAUAGUAGAGGGAAGUGGAAUUUCCGGUGUAGCGGUGGAAUGCGUAGAUAUCGGAAGGAACACCAGUGGCGAAGGCGGCUUCCUGGACUAAUACUGACACUGAGGUGCGAAAGCGUGGGUAGCGAACAGGAUUAGAUACCCUGGUAGUCCACGCCGUAAACGAUGAGAACUAGCUGUUGGAGCCUUCGGGUUUUAGUAGCGCAGCUAACGCGAUAAGUUCUCCGCCUGGGGAGUACGGCCGCAAGGUUA
rnacentral:rRNA from 1 species